rnacentral:rRNA from 1 species
AACGAACGCUGGCGGCAUGCCUAACACAUGCAAGUCGAACGAAGCCUUCGGGCUUAGUGGCGCACGGGUGCGUAACGCGUGGGAAUCUGCCCUUGGGUUCGGAAUAACAGUUAGAAAUGACUGCUAAUACCGGAUGAUGUCUUCGGACCAAAGAUUUAUCGCCCAAGGAUGAGCCCGCGUAGGAUUAGGUAGUUGGUGGGGUAAUGGCUCACCAAGCCGACGAUCCUUAGCUGGUCUGAGAGGAUGAUCAGCCACACUGGGACUGAGACACGGCCCAGACUCCUACGGGAGGCAGCAGUGGGGAAUAUUGGACAAUGGGCGAAAGCCUGAUCCAGCAAUGCCGCGUGAGUGAUGAAGGCCUUAGGGUUGUAAAGCUCUUUUACCAGGGAUGAUAAUGACAGUACCUGGAGAAUAAGCUCCGGCUAACUCCGUGCCAGCAGCCGCGGUAAAG